rnacentral:rRNA from 1 species
UGGGGGAUAUUGCACAAUGGGCGAAAGCCUGAUGCAGCGACGCCGCGUGGGGGAUGAAGGCUUUCGGGUUGUAAACCUCUUUCGCUAUCGAACAAGGCCCGCUUAGGGUGGGUUGAGGGUAGGUGGAGAAGAAGCGCCGGCUAACUACGUGCCAGCAGCCGCGGUAAUACGUAGGGCGCGAGCGUUGUCCGGAAUUAUUGGGCGUAAAGGGCUUGUAGGCGGCUUGUUGCGCCUGCUGUGAAAACGCGGGGCUUAACUUCGCGCGUGCAGUGGGUAUGGGCAGGCUUGAGUGUGGUAGGGGUGACUGGAAUUCCAGGUGUAGCGGUGGAAUGCGCAGAUAUCUGGAGGAACACCGAUGGCGAAGGCAGGUCACUGGGCCAUUACUGACGCUGAGGAGCGAAAGCAUGGGUAUCGAACAGG